AAAUUGGUGGUUCAGUGGUGGAAUUCUUGACUUACAUGCAGGGUACCUAGGUUCAACUCCUAGUCAAUGGA
rnacentral:tRNA from 1 species